AUUGAACGCUGGCGGCAGGCCUAACACAUGCAAGUCGAGCGGAGCGGCGGACGGGUGAGUAAUGCCUAUGACUCUGCCUGGUCGUGGGGGAUAACGUCCGGAAACGGGCGCUAAUACCGCCUACUCUCAGCUGAGCCUAGGUCGGUUUAGCGAGUUGGUGGGGUAAAGGCCUCCCAAGGCGACGAUCCGUAACUGGUCUGAGAGGAUGAUCAGUCACAAUGGAACUGGGACACGGUCCAGACUCCGACGGGAGGCAGCAGUGGGGAAAAUUGGACAAGGGGCGAAAGCCUGAUCCAGCCAUGCCGCGUGUGUGAAGAAGGUCUUCGGAUUGUAAAGCACUUUAAGUUGGGAGGCGUUACCAACAGAAUAAGCACCGGCUAACUUCGUGCCAGCAGCCGCGGUAAUAC
rnacentral:rRNA from 1 species